rnacentral:rRNA from 1 species
CAUGAAGCUGGAUUCGCUAGUAAUCGCGCAUCAGCCACGGCGCGGUGAAUACGUUCCCGGGCCUUGUACACACCGCCCGUCAAGCCAUGGGAGCCGGGGGCGCCUGAAGUCCGGGACCGCGAGGACCGGCCUAGGGCGAAACUGGUAACUGGGGCUAAGUCGUAACAAGGUAAC